rnacentral:rRNA from 1 species
AUUGAACGCUGGCGGCAUGCUUUACACAUGCAAGUCGAACGGUAACAGGCCUUCGGGUGCUGACGAGUGGCGAACGGGUGAGUAAUGCAUCGGAACGUACCCAGAGGUGGGGGAUAACGCAGCGAAAGCUGUGCUAAUACCGCAUGUGAUCUGAGGAUGAAAGCGGGGGACCGAGCAGCAAUGUUUGGCCUCGCGCCUUUGGAGCGGCCGAUGUCGGAUUAGCUAGUUGGUGGGGUAAAGGCCUACCAAGGCGACGAUCCGUAGCUGGUCUGAGAGGACGACCAGCCACACUAGGACUGAGACACGGCCCAGACUCCGACGGGAGGCAGCAGUGGGGAAUUUUGGACAAUGGGCGCAAGCCUGAUCCAGCAAUGCCGCGUGCGGGAAGAAGGCCUUCGGGUUGUAAAACGCUUUUGGCAGGAACGAAACGGUGUCCGCUAAUACCGGGCGCUAAUGACGGUACCUGCAGAAUAAGCACCGGCUAACUACGUG